rnacentral:rRNA from 1 species
GUUAGGAAUAUUGGACAAUGGGCGCAAGCCUGAUCCAGCCAUGCCGCGUGAGUGAUGAAGGCCUUCGGGUUGUAAAGCUCUUUAGUCCACGAAUAUAAUGACUGUAGUGGAAGAAUAAGCCCCGGCUAACUUCGUGCCAGCAGCCGCGGUAAUACGAAGGGGGCGAGCGUUAUUCGGAAUCACUGGGCGUAAAGCGUGCGUAGGCUGUUUUGUAAGUCAGAAGUGAAAGCCCAGGGCUUAACCCUGGAAUUGCUUUUGAAACUACAAGACUCGAAUUCGGGAGAGGAUAGCGGAAUUGUCAGUGUAGCAGUGAAAUGCGUAGAUAUUGACAGGAACACCAGUGGCGCAAGCGGCUAUCUGGACCGAUAUUGACGCUGAGGCACGAAAGCGUGGGGAGCAAACAGGAUUAGAAACCCUAGUAGUCC